GCGUAAUGUUCAUAAUAUUUUCAAAGUUGAAAGUUGGAUUAGAAGGAAGGGUUUUGUUUAAGUUUCGGGACGAAACUUCUUUUAAGGGGGGUAGACUGUAAUCCCCCAUAUUUUUAAGAUAUUAAAUUAAAUAGUUUUAAUCAUUUUUAAUUAUUAAAGCUAUUUAAUUUCGGUAUUUAAGAGCAGAAGGGUAUUUUGGUCAUUUUACCAAAAGAGUACUUGAGUAUUUACACAAAGAAAUAUUUUAGUAUUUUCAAGAAAGUAUUUUGUUAAUAUUAGUAGGAAGAUUAUUUUGGAAAUUUAUCAUCAAAUGUAUUUUGGCAAUUUGAUGAGUAAGGGCAUUUUAGUCUUUUACCCAAAUUGACUACCACUAUAAAAAGGGGAAAACCUAAAGUUUCCCAUCAUUUUCCAUCUUCUUCACUAGCCACCAUUUCUCAAAAAGGAGAAGAUCUUGCAAUUAUCAAAGGGAAGUAAAGAGGUUUCAAGAAUAAUUAAAGCCAGUCAAACUUUUGACUGUUGAUUUUUGUGUAAUCAAUAGUUUAGAGAAGAAGUUGCAGGUACAAGUUCUUGAUGUGCAUGGAAAUCAUAAGCAUCCGGAUGGGAGUUUUCGUACACGAGUACUUUAUUAUUUAAACUAUCUUGAAUUUUAUAUUUGACUUUACUUGACCAAUGGGGUCAAGGUUUGACUUUUGAAGAUAGGACUAGUAUGGGAUAGUCUCGGAGUUUGUAAUUCAUUUACAUACUUUCUU